UGGCGGAAUGCUUUACACAUGCAAGUCGAGCGGCAGCGCGGGGCAACCUGGCGGCGAGCGGCGAACGGGCGAGUAAUGCAUCGGAACAUGUCCAAUCGUGGGGGAUAGCCCGGCGAAAGCCGGAUUAAUACCGCAUACGCCCGAGAGGGGAAAGCCGGGGACCGCAAGGCCUGGCGCGACUGGGUUGGCCGAUGUCCGAUUAGCUAGUUGGCGAGGUAAAGGCUCACCAAGGCAUCGAUCAGUAGCUGGUCUGAGAGGACGACCAGCCACACUGGAACUGAGACACGGUCCAGACUCCUACGGGAGGCAGCAGUGGGGAAUUUUGGACAAUGGGCGCAAGCCUGAUCCAGCAAUGCCGCGUGAGUGAAGAAGGCCUUCGGGUUGUAAAGCUCUUUCGGCGGGGACGAAACGGUCCGUGACAACACCACGGACUAAUGACGGUACUCGCAGAAGAAGCACCGGCUAACUACGUGCCAGCAGCCGCGGUAAUACGGGGGGGGCAAGCGUUGUUCGGAAUUACUGGGCGUAAAGGGCUCGUAGGUGGCCAACUAAGUCAGACGUGAAAUCCCUCGGCUUAACCGGGGAACUGCGUCUGAUACUGGAUGGCUUGAGUUUGGGAGAGGGAUGCGGAAUUCCAGGUGUAGCGGUGAAAUGCGUAGAUAUCUGGAGGAACACCGGUGGCGAAGGCGGCAUCCUGGACCAAUACUGACGCUGAGGAGCGAAAGCCAGGGGAGCAAAC
rnacentral:rRNA from 1 species